GUGGGGAAUAUUGGACAAUGGGCGCAAGCCUGAUCCAGCCAUGCCGCGUGCAGGAAGAAGGCCUUCGGGUUGUAAACUGCUUUUGUACGGAACGAAACGGUCCUGGUUAAUACCUGGGGCUAAUGACGGUACCGUAAGAAUAAGCACCGGCUAACUACGUGCCAGCAGCCGCGGUAAUACGUAGGGUGCGAGCGUUAAUCGGAAUUACUGGGCGUAAAGCGUGCGCAGGCGGUGCUGUAAGACAGGCGUGAAAUCCCCGGGCUCAACCUGGGAAUUGCGCUUGUGACUGCAGUGCUGGAGUACGGCAGAGGGGGAUGGAAUUCCGCGUGUAGCAGUGAAAUGCGUAGAUAUGCGGAGGAACACCGAUGGCGAAGGCAGUCCCCUGGGCCUGUACUGACGCUCAUGCACGAAAGCGUGGGGAGCAAACAGGAUUAGAAACCCCAGUAGUCC
rnacentral:rRNA from 1 species